GCUGGGCAUGGUGGCGCGUGCCUGUAAUCCCAGCUACUCGGGAGGCUGAGGCAGGAGAAUUGCCUGAACCCAGGAGGUGGAGGUUGCGGUGAGCCGAGAUCGCGCCAUUGCACUCCAGCCUGGGUAACUAGCGAAACUCCAUCUCAAUAAAAAAAAUAAAAAAGGAGAAGAUUACUUGGAACUGUGGUGCCAGCGUUUUUUUUUUUUUUGAGACUGAAUCACCUAGGCUGAAGUGCAAUGGCACGAUCCUGGCUCACCACAUCCUCCGCCUCCUGGGUUCAAGCGAUUCUCCUGCCUGAG
rnacentral:SRP_RNA from 1 species